rnacentral:lncRNA from 12 species
GGUUGCCGGGUCAGAGAGUGAGCUCCCUGUGCCUGGAGAUAUGUAAGAAGAGGCUGAGAAUGGGAUCCUACGCCUGAAUUCAAGUUGAACUUGAUGAUGAUCUAUGUCGUUGGAGCGCCUGGAAAAUGGAGGAGAUUACUUGGG